UGACCACCCGGAAGGGUCAAGGCCAUACGGACAGCCGGGUCAACUGCCGA
ncrna:unclassified sequences Streptococcus sRNA SpF59 (ldcC RNA)